rnacentral:rRNA from 1 species
UACGUAGGGGGCAAGCGUUGUCCGGAAUCAUUGGGCGUAAAGCGCGUGUAGGCGGCUCGAUAAGUCCGCUGUGAAAGUCCAGGGCUCAACCCUGGAAUGCCGGUGGAUACUGUCGAGCUCGAGUCCGGAAGAGGCGAGUGGAAUUCCUGGUGUAGCGGUGAAAUGCGCAGAUAUCAGGAGGAACACCAAUGGCGAAGGCAGCUCGCUGGGACGGUACUGACGCUGAGACGCGAAAGCGUGGGGAGCAAACAGG